rnacentral:tRNA from 1 species
UGCGGGGUCGUCUAAAGGUAAGACGCUACAUUUUGGUUGUGGCUAUUGCCGGUUCGAAUCCGGCCCCCGCAU